AACGAACGCUGGCGGCAGGCCUAACACAUGCAAGUCGAGCGAACCCUUCGGGGUUAGCGGCGGACGGGUUAGUAACGCGUGGGAAUAUACCCUUUGGUACGGAAUAGCCUCGGGAAACUGAGAGUAAUACCGUAUGUGCCCUUCGGGGAAAGAUUUAUCGCCAAAGGAUUAGCCCGCGUUGGAUUAGGUAGUUGGUGGGGUAAUGGCCUACCAAGCCUACGAUCCAUAGCUGGUUUGAGAGGAUGAUCAGCAACACUGGGACUGAGACACGGCCCAGACUCCUACGGGAGGCAGCAGUGGGGAAUCUUAGACAAUGGGCGCAAGCCUGAUCUAGCCAUGCCGCGUGGACGAUGAAGGCCUUAGGGUUGUAAAGUCCUUUCAGAUGGGAAGAUAAUGACGGUACCAUCAGAAGAAGCCCCGGCUAACUCCGUG
rnacentral:rRNA from 1 species